CUACGUGUUACAGAAAGUGCUCCAUGGAAUCCAGUUGUGGUUCUCGUUAAGCAACACAUGUGUCGUUCAUGCACCAGAAUCCUCGAGAAGAAAGGAGGGCAUUAGGAUCUGGGCACCACCCCUCAUCUAACCAUGCCUUCCCGUAUGGGCUCUUCUUGCGUCAGGAUUAAUCUCGAGGUGGGGAGGUUUGUGGGCAGCAGGACAGCACCGGCAAGAAAGGGACUGAGACUUGACACUGGGCAUGCUCGCCAGGGUGGGGCAGGCCCAGCUCAUGAAAGAGGUUCAAGGAAGGCGCACGGGCCAGAGUUCCUUUCCCUGUUCCACACGCCUGAUCAGCAUAUUAGUUGGCAUCCGGUGCUCCAAGUGGAGAGACGUCAUCAGCUGCACCUAGGAACCUGGACCUGUUUCCCUGCCCUUUGCUGUCCUGAGGAACUUAAUGAGCUUUCCGAGGUGGGGCCUCCUGCGCUGUUGAUGCUGACCCGGUUAUGAUGUCAGGAAGAAAAUCAAGCCAAAUGCAGGUGCCCGAGUCAUAAACUCCUGCUUCGGAUGGCUCGUUAGGGCGACAAAGGGACUGCGAUUGAUUUUGAAAUCCUCAAGAUCUGAUCAAGUCUCUCUCAAAGCCACCCCUGGACCCCUGGACCCCUGGCUUCAGAAGCAGGUGCUUAUGAAAAAGAAGCUGAGAUCGGACCCUUAGUUUUUUGCUGGGGUGGUUUAAGACGAGUUUUCCAUCUCCCACGGCCCGAGGCUGAGUGAGCUCGCCCUCCAUCGUCUCUCCGCCUCCCGGGCCCUUCACCAGGGAUUGAAACCCCACCCCUGGGGAAAAGCUUGUAAACUGAAAAACAUACAUACCAUUAGCUAUAAUUAACGCUGUGUUGAGGAAACAGAGCGCGGGUCUUCAUCCCUUGGAAUGAGUUGCUAAAUGGCUCUAAACUUCAGUUCUACCAUUUGUUAAACAGAAAUGAUAACGUUGUUUUGUGAUAUAGCACAAG
rnacentral:lncRNA from 1 species